UACGGAGGGUGCAAGCAUUAAUCGGAUUUAUUGGGCGUAAAGGGCGUGUAGGCGGGCUGGCCAGUCGAGUGUGAAAUUCCAAAGCUCAACUUUGGGACGGCACUUGAAACUACCAGUCUGGAGGAUUGGCGGAGAAAAUGGAAUUCCACGUGUAGCGGUGAAAUGCGUAGAUAUGUGGAAGAACACCGGUGGCGAAAGCGAUUUUCUAGCUUAUACCUGACGCUGAGGCGCGAGAGCAAGGGGAGCAAACAGG
rnacentral:rRNA from 1 species